AGUGAACGCUGGCGGUAGGCCUAACACAUGCAAGUCGAACGGCAGCACAGUAAGAGCUUGCUCUUACGGGUGGCGAGUGGCGGACGGGUGAGGAAUACAUCGGAAUCUACUUUUUCGUGGGGGAUAACGGAGGGAAACUGACGCUAAUACCGCAUACGACCUACGGGUGAAAGCAGGGGAUCUUCGGACCUUGCGCGAUUGAAUGAGCCGAUGUCGGAUUGGCUAGUUGGCGGGGUAAAGGCACACCAAGGCGACGAUCCGUAGCUGGUCUGAGAGGAUGAUCAGCCACACUGGAACUGAGACACGGUCCAGACUCCUACGGGAGGCAGCAGUAGGGAAUCUUCCGCAAUGGGCGAAAGCCUGACGGAGCAACGCCGCGUGAGUGAUGAAGGUCUUCGGAUCGUAAAACUCUGUUAUUAGGGAAGAACAAAUGUGUAAGUAACUAUGCACGUCUUGACGGUACCUAAUCAGAAAGCCACGGCUAACUACGUG
rnacentral:rRNA from 1 species